rnacentral:rRNA from 1 species
GAUGAACGCUGGCGGCGUGCCUAAUACAUGCAAGUCGAGCGAACAGACGAGGAGCUUGCUCCUCUGACGUUAGCGGCGGACGGGUGAGUAACACGUGGAUAACCUACCUAUUAGUCUGGGAUAACUUCGGGAAACCGGAGCUAAUACCGGAUAAUAUAUUGAACCGCAUGGUUCAGUAGUGAAAGACGGUUUUGCUGUCACUUAUAGGCGCAUCCGCGCCGCAUUAGUUAGUUGGUAAGUUAACGGCUUACCAAGGCAACGAUGCGUAGCCGACCUGAGAGGGUGAUCGGCCACACUGGAACUGAGACACGGUCCAGACUCCUACGGGAGGCAGCAGUAGGGAAUCUUCCGCAAUGGGCGAAAGCUUGACGGAGCAACGCCGCGUGAGUGAUGAAGGUCUUCGGAUCGUAAAACUCUGUUAUUAGGGAAGAACAAAUGUGUAAGUAACUAUGCACGUCUUGACGGUACCUAAUCAAGAAGCCACGGCUAACUACGUG